rnacentral:rRNA from 2 species
UACGAGAGGCCCAAACGUUAUUCGGAAUUACUGGGCUUAAAGAGUUCGUAGGCGGCGCAGAAAGUGGGGUGUGAAAGCCCUCGGCUCAACCGAGGAAUUGCGCUCCAAACUACUGUGCUUGAGGAAGCUAGAGGUGAGCAGAACUGAUGGUGGAGCGGUGAAAUGCGUUGAUAUCAUCAGGAAUACCGGAGGCGAAGGCGGCUCACUGGGGCUUUUCUGACGCUGAGGAACGAAAGCCAGGGUAGCGAACGGG